UUAGCCUCUUUAACAAUCAGAUUUUAUCUAUCUCAAACUGUUAGUUGUCAGGAGUUUUUUUAUAUAUGUCCAGUUUCUGCAAGAUUUUUUUUUUGUCUUAGUUGCAGCACCACUUUGUUAUUUCUUUCUUUUUAGAUCAUUAGUUAUUGGUUUGAGCAAACAUAGAUUGGUCUCAAAAAAUUCUCAUCUUAUAAUUCUUCUUGUGGAUAAUUUGUUACUUCAAAUGUGGUCAUUAUGUUUUGAUUUCUCAUAUCUCAAGAAUACCUGGUUGUGCUAAGUUGGCCCUGUGCAAGGAACUAUCGAGUGUCCUAGAAAUGGAUGGUGAUCGGGAAGUUUCCUUACAGCGUCAAAACCGCAAUUGCAGGCUUUUGGGACGGCUGGUUGUACUUUACAUUGGGGCAGCGGGAUCGAGGGCGAGAUAAUCCGCAACCUAAGAUGGUCAUUGGAGACAUGUGGAGGACCAAAUUGAGACUGUGAUGCGAGUUGCGUGAAGUCAACCCUCUGAAGCAUUGUCUUAGCUUAGAUUUUUUUUUCUUCUUUUUCACACAUUUUCUCUAGGCCAGGUAAAUAGUCCAAGUAUAUUCUUUCCUCAAUCUUUCUACUUAAGCGAGGCAUAUAAUUAUUUAACCGCAGUUUUUACAUCUUUGUGCAAAAGUGGUAGACUGUAUUGAAUUGAAUAGAGGAGAGCAUUUACAAA